rnacentral:rRNA from 1 species
CAGCCGCCGCGGUAAGACGGAGGGUGCUAGCGUUGUUCGGAAUCACUGGGCGUAAAGGGCGCGUAGGCGGCCUGUUAAGUCGGAUGUGAAAGCCCGGGGCUCAACCCCGGAACUGCAUCCGAGACUGGCAGGCUUGAGACCGGGAGAGGAGGGUGGAAUAUCCAGUGUAGAGGUGAAAUUCGUAGAUAUUGGAUGGAACACCGGUGGCGAAAGCGGCUCUCUGGCCCGGAUCUGACGCUGAGGCGCGAAAGCGUGGGGAGCAAACAGGAUUAGAUACCCCCGUAGUCCCUGUCUCUUAUAU